AUGUGCAACAUCUUGACAAGCUUGUGAGAUAUUCGUCAUGGGUUUCUAAUACUGACCAUAUAACUUGUUGCCAUAGUUACGGAGAGUGCCAAUCAUGCCAGGGAUCACUUGAAGACGGAGGUAGAUCUGAAGCAAUGUGACGGGGUGGUGUGUGUGGGAGGGGACGGGAUGUUCAGUGAGGUUGUCCACGGCCUGGGCCCAGAGUGAUUCCAGAGUGGACCAGAACCAAUCGAACCAGGACCUGGUUCCAUGUGUGUUCCGCAUUGGAAUCAUCCCUGCAGGUGACUCCCAACUCAUGGACGUGUGUUCUGUCCGUCACAACAACACCUUCCUCAGGUAAGUCUCGCUGCUCGGAUACGGUUUCUACGGAGACCUCCUGACGGACUGCGAAAGGAAGUGCUGGAUGGGGCCUCCCAGAUACGAUCUCUCAGGGACUGUCGCUUUCCUGCCCACUGAGGACAAACCUGGGGAACCUUAGAGACAAGGUCAAGUGCAGAACUGGGUGCCAUAUCUAUGAGCAGGUUGCCAACAAUAGGCAGCCCCUCUUAGGGGAUCAUGUCUGCUAGAUGGCUGAA